CCUACGGGUGGCAGCAGUGGGGAAUAUUGCACAAUGGGGGAAACACUGAUGCAGCGAAGCCGCGUGAAGGAAGAAGUAUUUCGGUAUGUAAACUUCUAUCAGCAGGGAAGAAAAUGACGGUACCUGACUAAGAAGCCCCGUCUAACUACGUGCCAGCAGCCGCGGUACUACGUAGGGGGCAAGCGUUAUCCGGAUUUACUGGGUGUAAAGGGAGCGUAGGCGGUUUAGCAAGUCAGAAGUGAAAGCCCGGGGCUCAACUCCGGGACUGCUUUUGAAACUGUUGAACUUGAUUGCAGGAGAGGUAAGUGGAAUUCCUAGUGUAGCGGUGAAAUGCGUAGAUAUUAGGAGGAACACCAGUGGCGAAGGCGGCUUACUGGACUGUAAAUGACGCUGAGGCUCGAAAGCGUGGGGAGCAAACAGGAUUAGAUACCCUAGUAGUC
rnacentral:rRNA from 1 species